AGUGAACGCUGGCGGUAGGCCUAACACAUGCAAGUCGAACGGCAGCACAGUAAGAGCUUGCUCUUACGGGUGGCGAGUGGCGGACGGGUGAGGAAUACAUCGGAAUCUACUUUUUCGUAGGGGAUAACGUAGGGAAACUUACGCUAAUACCGCAUACGACCUACGGGUGAAAGCAGGGGAUCUUCGGACCUUGCGCGAUUGAAUGAGCCGAUGUCGGAUUAGCUAGUUGGCGGGGUAAAGGCCCACCAAGGCGACGAUCCGUAGCUGGUCUGAGAGGAUGACCAGCCACACUGGAACUGAGACACGGUCCAGACUCCUACGGGAGGCAGCAGUGGGGAAUAUUGGACAAUGGGCGCAAGCCUGAUCCAGCCAUACCGCGUGGGUGAAGAAGGCCUUCGGGUUGUAAAGCCCUUUUGUUGGGAAAGAAAAGCAGCAGGUUAAUACCCCGCUGUUCUGACGGUACCCAAAGAAUAAGCACCGGCUAACUUCGUG
rnacentral:rRNA from 1 species